rnacentral:rRNA from 1 species
ACGUUAGCGGCGGACGGGUGGAGUAACACGUGGGUGACCUACCUAUAAGACUGGGAUAACUCCGGGAAACCGGGGCUAAUACCGGAUAAUACAUGAAACCGCAUGGUUUCAUGAUGAAAGACGGUUUUGCUGUCACUUAUAGAUGGACCCGCGGCGUAUUAGCUAGUUGGUAAGGUAACGGCUUACCAAGGCAACGAUACGUAGCCGACCUGAGAGGGUGAUCGGCCACACUGGAACUGAGACACGGUCCAGACUCCUACGGGAGGCAGCAGGU